UACAGAGGGGGCAAGCGUUGUUCGGAAUUAUUGGGCGUAAAGAGCUUGUAGGCGGUCUGUCGCGUCUGCUGUGAAAAUCCGGGGCUCAACCCCGGACUUGCAGUGGGUACGGGCAGACUAGAGUGUGGUAGGGGAGACUGGAAUUCCUGGUGUAGCGGUGAAAUGCGCAGAUAUCAGGAAGAACACCUAUGGCGAAGGCAGCUCUCUGGGACGGUACUGACGCUGAGACGCGAAAGCGUGGGGAGCGAACAGG
rnacentral:rRNA from 1 species